GAUGAAGAACGUAGCGAAAUGCGAUAAGUAGUGUGAAUUGCAGAAUUCAGUGAAUCAUCGAAUCUUUGAACGCACAUUGCGCCUUCUAGUAUUCUGGGAGGCAUGCCUGUUUGAGCGUCAUUAAACCUCUCUCAAGUAUGAUUACUUGGAUGUGAAGGAAGAGUACCUUAAACUUAAGGAGUGUUCUCCUUUGAAAUUGAUUAGCAGAUGGUAAUGUUAUUAAAUCCCUGAUGUUGUAAGAAAUAACAGUGGUUUUGUAGACUAUUAUCUAGCUUUAAAUUAUAAUUUUUAUUAUGGUUGACCUCAAAUCAGGUAAGGAUACCUGCUGAACUUAAGCAUAUCAAUAAGCGGAGGA
rnacentral:misc_RNA from 1 species